rnacentral:rRNA from 1 species
AGAGUUUGAUCAUGGCUCAGAGCGAACGCUGGCGGCAGGCUUAACACAUGCAAGUCGAGCGGGUGUAGCAAUACAUCAGCGGCAGACGGGUGAGUAACGCGUGGGAACGUACCUUUUGGUUCGGAACAACCCAGGGAAACUUGGGCUAAUACCGGAUAAGCCCUUACGGGGAAAGAUUUAUCGCCGAAAGAUCGGCCCGCGUCUGAUUAGCUAGUUGGUGAGGUAAUGGCUCACCAAGGCGACGAUCAGUAGCUGGUCUGAGAGGAUGAUCAGCCACAUUGGGACUGAGACACGGCCCAAACUCCUACGGGAGGCAGCAGUGGGGAAUAUUGGACAAUGGGGGCAACCCUGAUCCAGCCAUGCCGCGUGAGUGAUGAAGGCCCUAGGGUUGUAAAGCUCUUUUGUGCGGGAAGAUAAUGACGGUACCGCAAGAAUAAGCCCCGGCUAACUUCGUGCCAGCAGCCGCGGUAAUACGAAGGGGGCUAGCGUUGCUCGGAAUCACUGGGCGUAAAGGGUGCGUAGGCGGGUCUUUAAGUCAGGGGUGAAAUCCUGGAGCUCAACUCCAGAACUGCCUUUGAUACUGAAGAUCUUGAGUCCGGGAGAGGUGAGUGGAACUGCGAGUGUAGAGGUGAAAUUCGUAGAUAUUCGCAAGAACACCAGUGGCGAAGGCGGCUCACUGGCCCGGUACUGACGCUGAGGCACGAAAGCGUGGGGAGCAAACAGGAUUAGAUACCCUAGUAGUCC